UGAGAUGGUGAUACUUGACUUUCUUGUGGAAGUGGGUCCGUGUAUGUAGGCAUAGUAAAUGUGCCUUGAUCAGAUGGUGCAGUCAUUUCAUAAUCAAAAUGAAUCUCUUGGGCAGUAGAAUGCAUUUGAUCAUGAGUAAAGGAAGCAGUAGAAACAUCAUCAUGUGAUUGUAUUGGGGACUCAUUAAAGAGCCUUGCUCUAUCUGAGUCAUUUGAGGAAGGUUGAUUCAUUGUAUUUUCUAUUUCACAAGGAUGCUCCCAUUCAUGAAAAAUAGACGGCUCAUCUUGCACUGC
rnacentral:lncRNA from 1 species